GUGUUCAAUAGCUCCUUCCCCAGGCCUCUCUUUGGGCCAGGCCCUGGUCAAAUCUCCACCCUCAAUAUGAAUCAGGCAGGUCCAGUGAAAGGACACAGGGACCUUUCACUUCCGUGGGAAAGAGCGGUGGAGAUGGGGCAGGGACGAGUCAGCUCAGGGGGUUCCUCGGGGAGGAGUUUGCUGGGUGUGGGUGUGCUUAAUUGAGUCUUUAUUUCCAUUUCGGGAAGCACCUAAACUCGUUUUCUAGGCUUCCUUGCUGAAUCUGCAGUUUUGAAGGUUAUCCACUCAUCUAUUUAUUCAACAAAUGUUUAUUGAGCACCUACUAUCUGCCAGGUAGCAGGGCCAAUCUUGGCCCUAAAGUUCUGAGCUGGGAGUAAAGAAUACUGAGGGAAAGCCUGUGAAACGUAAGGUUCUUACCUCCAGAAGUUUGUGUUGUGAUAUUGAAUGAAACUGUGGAGUCAUCUGAUAACGGCCUAACUUGUUUUUUGCUGCCUGGAUGGCUGAAAAUGCCUCUUUAUCUUCAAAGUUCAAUAAUUUGACCAGGAUUUGUAUCAGUGUGGCUCAUUCUCCAUCACCUUACCCUGGAAAAUUAUUUGCUGCUCAUUUGGCAAAUUCAUCUUUCCUUUAUAUCAGGGAAAUUGUCUUCUGUUACAUCUUAAAAUAUAAUUUAUGUUCCAUUGUUGAGUUAUCCUCUUCAGGGCCACCAACUACCUUUCUUGAAUCAUUUUGUCCCUCUAUUACCCUCUCUCUGAUUGUUUCAACAUCUUUGCCUUUUUUCUCUGAUUUGCUUGUUUCUCAUUCCUUGGUUUUAGCCAUUUUCUCAAAUAAGCAGGAGACAUUUAAAAAGGUAAGGCCUGAAAAACUUUGUGUGUCUCUUGAAACCCUGUGUCCCUUGUUCCCAAGGGGUCUUUCCUAGGAUGUCCACCCAUACCCUUUUCCACCAUACCUUAAAGCAGCACACUUUCACCAGUUUUUAUGUUUUGUUGUUGUUUGCUAUACUCACUGGUUGAUUAAGGGAAGGUCCAAUAAAAAUUACAAGGCAUACUAAAAGGCAAAAGCCAGUUUGAAGAGACUAAACUAGUAUCAGAAUCAGAGUCAGAUAUGGCAGGAAUGUUGAAACUAUCAGACCAAGAAUUGCAAGAACAGAUGGGUAAUGCAAGCAGAGAUAUGAAAGAUUCUGAGAAAGAAUUUAAAAGAAAUGCUAGAUAUCAAAAACACUGUCACAGAAAUGAAGAAUGCCUUUGACGUGUUUAUUAGUAGGCUGGACAUGGCCUACUAAUUCUGAGCUUAAGGAUAUGACAAUAGAAACUUCCAAAGCUGAUAAGCCUUCAAUGGAUGUGCUUAGGAUUCUGUCAACCUGCCCUCUCCCCACAAUACGACUUCUACCAUGCAGAAGUGUGUUCAGGAGCCAUGCCAUGACUCCCGGGGAUCGGUUUCCCUUGCUUACUUCAGUGAAAAUAUGAGCAUGGCAGGCAGCUAUCCCUUUAAGUCAUUGCCUGGAUGCUGCUGGCAGACUCUCACCAGUUUUCAUGUUUUGUUGUUCUCUGUGCUCACUGAUUAACAAGGGGAAGCCCAGGUCCUUUCCAUUCCACCACGUUUACCUGGAUGUCCCAGGGGCAUUUUUUUUUUUUUUUUU
rnacentral:lncRNA from 10 species